GUGGAUUAGAUACCCUAGUAGUCCACACUGUAAACGAUGAAUGCUAGGUGUAGGAGGUAUCGACCCCUUCUGUGCCGCAGUUAACACAAUAAGCAUUCCGCCUGGGGAGUACGGCCGCAAGGUUGAAACUCAAAGGAAUUGACGGGGGCCCGCACAAGCAGCGGAGCAUGUGGUUUAAUUCGACGCAACGCGAAGAACCUUACCAGGUCUUGACAUCCAGUAAAGCCCGUAGAGAUACGGAGUGUGCUUGCACAUACUGAGACAGGUGGUGCAUGGCUGUCGCCAACU
rnacentral:rRNA from 1 species